UACGGAGGGUGCAAGCGUUAUCCGGAUUCACUGGGCUUAAAGGGUGCGUAGGUGGGCAGUUAAGUCAGUGGUGAAAUCUCCGGGCUUAACCCGGAAACUGCCAUUGAUACUAUCUGUCUUGAAUAUCGUGGAGGUAAGCGGAAUAUGUCAUGUAGCGGUGAAAUGCUUAGAUAUGACAUAGAACACCAAUUGCGAAGGCAGCUUACUACCCGAAUAUUGACACUGAGGCACGAAAGCGUGGGGAGCAAACAGG
rnacentral:rRNA from 1 species